rnacentral:rRNA from 1 species
AUACGUGGGGGGCUAGCGUUAUCCGGAAUUACUGGGCGUAAAGGGUGCGUAGGUGGUUUCUUAAGUCAGAAGUGAAAGGCUACGGCUCAACCGUAGUAAGCUUUUGAAACUAAGAGACUUGAGUGCAGGAGAGGAGAGUAGAAUUCCUAGUGUAGCGGUGAAAUGCGUAGAUAUUAGGAGGAAUACCAGUUGCGAAGGCGGCUCUCUGGACUGUAACUGACACUGAGGCACGAAAGCGUGGGGAGCAAACAGGAUUAGAUACCCUGGUAGUCCACGCCGUAAACGAUGAGUACUAGCUGUCGGGGGUUACCCCCCUCGGUGGCGCAGCUAACGCAUUAAGUACUCCGCCUGGGAAGUACGCUCGCAAGAGUGAAACUCAAAUGAAUUGACGGGG